CAGAGUUGCAAACUCCCAAACCCAUCGCUGAACAGUACCAGACGUCGUUGCCUCGGCGGAUCAGCCCGCUCCGGUAACGGGACGGCCGCCAGAGACCUCUGAAGUCUCGGCUCUCUGAGUAUGUACUUCUGAUUAAACCAUAAUAAUCA
rnacentral:misc_RNA from 1 species